GCCGAUGUGGCGAAAUGGCAGACGCACUUGACUCAAAAUCAAGCGGAGAAAUCCAUGCCGGUUCGAGUCCGGCCAUCGGUACCA
rnacentral:tRNA from 1 species